UCUGAGUGAUCCGCAGACAGUUUACUGUGCGAAUGUCGAUUAUGACCAAGUUAUUCGGGUUAAUUCAUAACAGCACGAUUGAUCCAAUGUGACAACAAAUCGAUGAUAUGUGAAUGGAAUCCGCCGGAUGAUAAAUGCAUUAGUGUAGUCGCGUGAAAUUCAUGUCAGCUUGCGUGUGUAACUGCAUGCGACAUUUAUUAUAUCAAAAUUGAAGCAGGCAAGUCGGAGCACUAGAGCACUGUCACAUUCACCCUUGAACGAAAGCUCCAGCCGUUCGGAACCAUUCGACAGCGGUUUUCUCGAAUGUCAACCUGAAGGAAGUAAAUCAUAUGUGCUCACUUAAUGCCGGAACGUAUCCGGACAGUUCGGCUCUUGGAACCGAAUAUUCAGUUAUUCUUGGUACAAUUAAUGAAAUUAGGAGGCGAUCUGGCGUAGUGGUAACAUCCAUGCCUCUCACGCAAAAGGUCACGAGUUCAAUUCUCACUCCCGACAUUCUUCCAAAAAUGGAAGUAAAAGUGACGAACCAACCAAAUGAGUUGAAAAUCACUAUAAUACAGAUAUAAAAAAAAUUAAUGAAAUUCAAAAGCUGCACAUUCGAACGGUACAAAUAGGAACAGGAAGCUUCUCAAUAGUUUGGUGUUAUAACGGUGCGAAUGGAUCUUCAGGACUCGAGUGGUCUGACUCCUUCGAGACAGAGCACGUGACUCAGACGACAAAUGUAACUUACUCGAGCAGCAUGGCAAUGCUUAAGCCAGGAGCCAGCAGUGCCGAGUUUGGUCAAGAAGUUGAAAUUCACAAUCUACUUAUCAUCGAUCAGAAUACGUUCGAGUUGCUACAUGCACAUCAAUUCAUGCAAACGGAGUAUACUAUGUCACUGAUUUCGGCGAAGUUGGGUAACGACUCGAAUACUUAUUGCAUCGUCGGCACAGCACUGGUACAUCAAGUGGAACCGGAACCCAAAGUAGGAAGGAUUAUCAUCAAUCACUACGCGGAUGGAGCCCUCACUCAAGUUAGCGAGAAGGGAAUCAAGGGCGCGUGCUAUUCUCUCAUUGAGUUUAACCGUCGUGUAUUAGCUAGCAUCAAUUCAACUGUACGAUUGUAACCAUUUCAUUAACGUGUUCUCAUUAUAUUGUAAAACCAAGGGCGACUUCAUUUUGGUGGGUGAUUUGAUGCGAUCUGUCACGCUGGAGGUAAUUUCGAGGAGAUCGCUCGCGACUAUUAACCAAAUUGGAUGACAGUGAUUUCCUCGGGCGGAUAACAGAACAAUCUAUUUGUUUGCAUAAAAGAUGUAAGUAAGAUUUCCGUAGCUCUGUUUAUAAUACGAACAAUUUUUGUUUUUAUUUGAAGGGCCGCAGCAACGGACGACGAACG